GGUAAUCUUGGUGCUCCCUCUUUGUUUCUUUAUUGUUGAAGAGUAAUAGAUAGUUUCUGAAUACUAAGAAGUGAGUCUGUGGAAUAAAUCAAAGAUUGAUUUAUGAGUUAUUGAUUAUGUAAUUGGAGUACUAUGUGAUUGAAUUAUAUGAAAAGUUAUUGAAAGAUUGAUUAUGGAUGGAAGAUUAUGAUUGUUGUUUAUUGAGAGUUGUGUGUGUUUUGAUAGAAGAAGUCUAUGAUUAUAAAAAUUGUGUGAAUCCAGCUUGAUUGGAGUGAAGUCUAUUAUUUUU
rnacentral:lncRNA from 1 species